rnacentral:rRNA from 1 species
GAUGAACGCUAGCUACAGGCUUAACACAUGCAAGUCGAGGGGAAACGACGUCGAAAGCUUGCUUUUGAUGGGCGUCGACCGGCGCACGGGUGAGUAACGCGUAUCCAACCUGCCCAUCACUUGGGAAUAACCUUGCGAAAGUAAGACUAAUACCCAAUGACAUCCCACGAAGACAUCUGAAUGGGAUUAAAGAUUUAUCGGUGAUGGAUGGGGAUGCGUCUGAUUAGCUUGUUGGCGGGGUAACGGCCCACCAAGGCAACGAUCAGUAGGGGUUCUGAGAGGAAGGUCCCCCACAUUGGAACUGAGACACGGUCCAAACUCCUACGGGAGGCAGCAGUGAGGAAUAUUGAUCAAUGGGCGAGAGCCUGAACCAGCCAAGUAGCGUGCAGGAUGACGGCCCUAUGGGUUGUAAACUGCUUUUAUAAGGGAAUAAAGUGGGUCUCGUGAGACUUUUUGCAUGUACCUUAUGAAUAAGGACCGGCUAAUUCCGUG